CCUACGGGAGGCAGCAGUGGGGAAUAUUGCACAAUGGGGGAAACCCUGAUGCAGCGACGCCGCGUGAGUGAAGAAGUAAUUCGUUACGUAAAGCUCUAUCAGCAGGGAAGAAAAUGACGGUACCUGAGUAAGAAGCCCCGGAUAACUACGUGCCAGCAGCCGCGGUAAUACGUAGGGGGCAAGCGUUAUCCGGAUUUACUGGGUGUAAAGGGAGCGUAGACGGCAGUGCAAGUCUGGAGUGAAAGGGGGGGGCUCAACCCCCGGACUGCUCUGGAAACUGUACGGCUGGAGUGCAGGAGAGGUAAGUGGAAUUCCUAGUGUAGCGGUGAAAUGCGUAGAUAUUAGGAGGAACACCAGUGGCGAAGGCGGCUAACUGGACUGUAACUGACGUUGAGGCUCGAAAGCGUGGGGAGCAAACAGGAUUAGAUACCCUAGUAGUC
rnacentral:rRNA from 1 species